rnacentral:rRNA from 1 species
GGAUUCGUGCUCGAAAGAGAACCUGCACACAGGUGCUGCAUGGCUGUCGUCAGCUCGUGUCGUGAGAUGUUGGGUUAAGUCCCGCAACGAGCGCAACCCUUGCCAUCAGUUGCUACGAAAGGGCACUCUGAUGGGACUGCCGGUGACAAACCGGAGGAAGGUGGGGAUGACGUCAAGUCCUCAUGGCCCUUAUAGGUGGGGCUACACACGUCAUACAAUGGCCGGUACAAAGGGCAGCAAACCCGCGAGGGGGAGCCAAUCCAUCAAAGCCGGUCGUAGUCCGGAUCGCAGUCUGCAACUCGACUGCGUGAAGUCGGAAUCGCUAGUAAUCGUGGAUCAGCAUGUCACGGUGAAUACGUUCCCGGGUCUU